rnacentral:rRNA from 1 species
GACGAACGCUGGCGGCGUGCCUAAUACAUGCAAGUAGAACGCUGAAGGAGGAGCUUGCUCUUCUGGAUGAGUUGCGAACGGGUGAGUAACGCGUAGGUAACCUGCCUGGUAGCGGGGGAUAACUAUUGGAAACGAUAGCUAAUACCGCAUAACAGUAGAUGUUGCAUGACAUUUACUUAAAAGGUGCAAUUGCAUCACUACCAGAUGGACCUGCGUUGUAUUAGCUAGUUGGUGGGGUAACGGCUCACCAAGGCGACGAUACAUAGCCGACCUGAGAGGGUGAUCGGCCACACUGGGACUGAGACACGGCCCAGACUCCUACGGGAGGCAGCAGGAGGGAAUCUUCGGCAAUGGACGGAAGUCUGACCGAGCAACGCCGCGGGAGUGAAGAAGGUUUUCGGAUCGUAAAGCUCUGUUGUAAGAGAAGAACGAGUGUGAGAGUGGAAAGUUCACACUGUGACGGUAUCUUACCAGAAAGGGACGGUUAACUACGUG